UUGGAGGGCAAGUCUGGUGCCAGCAGCCGCGGUAAUUCCAGCUCCAAUAGCGUAUAUUAAAGUUGUUGCAGUUAAAAAGCUCGUAGUUGAAUUUCGGGGUCAGUAGGUCGGUCGUGCCACUGGUAUGAACUGGUUUUACUGAUUCCUCCCUCUUGAAGAACUGUAAUGCCAUUAAUUUGGUGUUGCAGGGAAUCAGGACUGUUACUUUGAAAAAAUUAGAGUGUUUAAAGCAGGCUUUAGCUUGAAUACAUUAGCAUGGAAUAAUGAAAUAGGACGUUUGAUCCUAUUUUGUUGGUUUCUAGGAUUGACGUAAUGAUUAAUAGGGAUAGUUGGGGGCAUUAGUAUUCAAUUGUCAGAGGUGAAAUUCUUGGAUUUAUUGAAGACUAACUACUGCGAAAGCAUUUGCCAAGGAUGUUUUCAUUAAUCAAGAACGAAAGUUAGGGGAUCGAAGACGAUCAGAUACCGUCGUAGUCUUAWCCAUAAACUAUGCCGACUAGGGAUCGGAUGAUGUUAAUUUUUUAAUGACUCAUUCGGCGCCUUACGGGAAAC
rnacentral:rRNA from 1 species